rnacentral:lncRNA from 1 species
UUCACUACGUGCUUUUCGUCUCGACAAAACGCUAUUCUUUCCUUUCGUUCCGACAUCUAUUCUGGCAAGGUACUCACACUUUGAUUCAUUUUCAAAUCUUAUAUGGGAGGAGAGAAGGGUAGAAAACUCGUUGUUUGUUAUUAGGUGGAGAAUGUGGUUCUCUGCAAGGGGUUUCUCUUUUGCACUAGUUUGUUAUUAAUCCGUAAUAAAGUUUCUAUUAUGCCAUCUUAGGCUAAUGUAAUUUUGAACGGGAGAUGUUUAGAUAAACAGUUUAAUUUUUAUUCAAUAAGCACUUAUUGUGUAAGUGCUUAUGUAUAUCUAUAAUGAGAAAAAAAAAUGAUGGUCACAUAAAAUUCUGAACAAGCUUUUUGAUCAACUGUACUAGGGAGUUUAGUAAACUAAACUUUAACUUGGAUAAUUUUGAAGUAUUUUCUAGCUAUGUCUAAGAAAUAAGAAUAGUGAAACAUUUAUGCUUGUAUUCAAUUUUUUUGGUGGUGCAUAUUGUGUGAAGUUGACGGAGGAGUUUGUCGGGGAUUGGUGGGAGUGAUUUAGGGGAUUUGGGUGAUUGGAGUAUUUUGGAGAGGUGUUAUAUGGAAAGAAUGUUGGUGGCUAAGAUUGCUAUUAGGAGGAGGAGGUUUACAGUCAUGGUGCUGAAGGUGACAUAUCUUCUAUUCGGAGAUUCUUUACAAUUUAGAAAUGCAAAUGUUUUAUUUGUUACCAUUUUUAAUUUAUAGAUUUGGAGCUAUAGAUUUCUAUGGUGCAUAGACAUAUCGAAACAAUUGCUUGAUUGCUGUUGAUGUGCUUACAGGUUUGUCGUCAAGUUGAUUACACCAGUGUCUGUGUUUUUUGCCUUUUGAUAUCAUUAACUCUUGCAGUAAAAACUGUUGACUAGCGAGUAUGUGGCAAAUUGCAAAAUAAUAUGCAACAGGUAGUUUGAGUUUGUAUCAUUUUGAUUCAUGCUAUAAUAUCUAUGAGAAUUCUGCAUAAUUGGUACUGAUUAAGAUGCCUAUACUGAUUUGAGAUGAUUGAUUCUAUGAUCAUCUUUGUUAAAGAAUCAAGUAUUGUUGAACUUCAUAAGGGUACUUUUAAUGUGUUCUCAAUUUAAUUUUUAUGUUCAAAUUUCAGAACCAUUGAAGAUUGCUAUAGAUACAUAUCCAAUUAACUCCUAUUAUAUAGUAUAAUCUCCUUUGUUUUUUAUUUUCUUCAUGUGUAUUAAUAUAUAAAAGGUUUGUUUUGACAAUGAAUAAUAACAGGUUGGAUUCAUUGUGGAUUUUAUAGCAUGCUGCAAUUGUGAUUCGUCUUCAACAGUUGAAGGGACUCGCUGCCACGCUACACCACUAUAGCGCGCAAUUAACAACACAGACCUGACUGAUUAAUAGCGUCAUGGCAAAGACAAGGUCUAAUAGUUUAUAAAAUCUUGACUUAAUUUUUUCUUCUUUUUCUUCCUCUUGAAGAUAUUAUGUUUCGUUCUUUUUCUUUUUCUUGUGAUCCUGCUGUUUUAAGAUCAGGCAAAGCUCAUGUCUUAGUCUAUGGAAUGUAAGGAACAAUAGCUGAGGUAAAGCUUUAACUUGUCUAUAUGGUACCUCAAUUCUUACUUACAAUAUCCUUAAUUAAUUUGUUUUCUGCUUCUGCAUUGUUUUACUUUUUUGUUUUGGUUUUUUACAUCUUUUUUUUGUUUAUCCUUUUAUGUUAAGAGAGUCUGAAAGUAAAGCUUUCACUCGAGCCGAAAGCUGAAAAAUGCUUUACAUGGAAUGGUCUAGAGUUAAGAGUAAAAUAAUCUGAUG